UACGGAGGGUGCAAGCGUUAUCCGGAUUUACUGGGUUUAAAGGGUGCGUAGGCGGCUCUUUAAGUCAGUGGUGAAAGCCUAGUGCUUAACACUAGAAAUGCCAUUGAAACUAAAGAGCUUGAAUCAAGGAGAGGUAAGCAGAAUUUAUAGUGUAGCAGUGAAAUGCUUAGAUACUAUAAGGAAUACCAACAGCGAAGGCAGCUUACUGGCCUUGCAUUGACGCUGAGGCACGAAAGCGUGGGGAGCAAACAGG
rnacentral:rRNA from 1 species